UGCCUGUGUCUGCAUGCAGGCAGGGCAAAGGGGGGAGAAAACUGAAGCCAGAGGAAGAACAAAAGAGCUGAUUGCAGAACAAAAAUGUGUAAUUGACAAACCAGGAAGGUUGCUUUUAUCCUACGUUUGUGAGUAUUCCAGUGAACAGUUCUCUCCGCUUCUCUUACACACAUAUGCUGUGAACACAAUCAGACAUAGCUGUAAGAAAAACUGCAAAUAGGAAAUAAGAUCCAAAGAAGAAGCCCUCCUCUGUUGGCACUGAUUAUCUAUCUAUCUCCUUUCACUGUGACACCAAAAGCCAUCUUUGAAUUCUAUGUGCUCCUCAGUUGUGUCUUGAGGUUCACUUUGCACAACAGCUGUUUCCUUUGAGAAAUAUUGUGUGUUAAGGGACAUUGCCAAAAAACAUUACUUUACAUGCACAUUCACAUUAAAAACCUUAUUAAAUCUGCUAACGUAAGGAGGCAAAAACCUAGGAAAUGUCAGGACUAAUGCUAUCUGUGUUACCCUAAAUCUGUCCUUUCUCCACGUGCAUCAUGCCUGCAAUCUUUAAUAACAUCAUCACCCAAUUUAUUUUCUCCCCAGGGGCUCCUGUCUCAUUCAGUGUCCUCUGCUGGAUGCUCCUCCUCCAGCUGCCCCUUCCUCGGCCCUCUCUGAGCUCACUGCACAGCCAAACAUCUGCAUAUUUUCCACAGGAAUAACAAGUGGAAAUUAUCUCAUGCAGUGGUCAUGCCCUUUCCUGAAUUUAAAGCCAUAUUUAGUAAGAGAGCAUUAGAGCUUCUCCAUGUUUUAUAAUUCUUUUAAAUAAGUGGAAGGCAGUCUUUUCUUAGAAGCCACAGAUCUCAGCUGAAGCUAAAGCAAAUCCAUCGCAUGGGCUAUUUCACCCUUGAUUGCAACUUCAGAAGUCAAAAGCAAAAAACAAACAAACAAACAAACAAACAAAAAGCCAGUGUCAAAAAAAGGCAAAUGUUGAAAACGUUCAUCUUGAUGACACAAUUGGCUUUACUUAUCCUGCAGCUCACAUUUUCAUAUGGCCACCUGGGAUUUUUUCAGUGGCCUUGCUGAAGAGAAACGAGACACUGGGGGUCAGGUGCUGCCACUGGUCCCUAUAUAAGAUGCCCACUUAAGGUCGAGGGGAGCACUUCUGGCCUCCUACCUUUUAGAGAUUCAUAGAAUCACUAAGGUUGGAAAAGACCACUAAGAUCAUCUAGUCCAACCAUCAACUCAUCAGCAGCUCAUCCAUCACCACUCCUUCCCACCAGGGAAUCCCUUGGUGCUGCCCACGUUGGGCACCUGGAGAUCUGUCCAGGCUGAGAGGGCCCCAUGCAGAGCAGUGGGCAGAUUUCCCUCUGCUUUAAUC
ensembl:lncRNA